CUAUUGGUUCUCUACAAUAAUAUAUCAUGAAUUGUUUGAGCCAGUACAGAUAAGCUUUUUAAUUUUUUUUAAUUGUGAUGGAUCCAUUUUCUAUCUGGAUUUGAGUAAUCCUCAGUUCUAAUUUCCAAACUAAUCUCAGUUUCUACUUUGAGAAGCCAACAAGUAAACCACUGCUGCAGCUUUCUUGCUGCUUUCGUUUGUUUUUGGGUUUCACAGUUGAGAAGAAACCAUACAUUAUUUUGUCCAAGUUAGGAGCAUUCUAAGGAGAGUGAGACCUUUUAUGAAGAUUCUCUGAGAAUCCAGAGUAAGGACAAAAACAUGUUUAAGUCGUGGAGGAGCAACAACAAAAAGAUCAAAGCUGUUUUCAAGUUGCAGUUUCAGGCAACUCAGGUGCCACAGUUGAAGAAACCUGCAUUAACUAUAUCUUCGUUGCCAGAAGAUGUUGGAAAGCCAACAUUCAAACUGGAGAAAGCUGCAGUGCAGGAUGGAAUCUGUUUAUGGGAGAACCCUAUAUAUGUAACAGUGAAAUUUAUCAGGCAGGCAAAAACAGGAAAACUGAAUGAGAAAAUAUUCCAUUUCAUUGUGUCUAGUGGAUCUUCAAAAUCAGGUUAUCUUGGAGAAGCUUCAAUUGAUUUUGCAGAUUUUGCUGAGGGAACUGAGCCAUUGACAGUCUCUCUGCCCCUUAAGUUCGCUAACUCUGGUGCAGUUUUGCAUGUGACCGUUCAGAAGGUGCAGGGAGGUACUGAUCAAAGAUACACUGUAGAUGAUGGAGAUUCCACACUUCCCCAAGAUGAAAGCUUGAGGAACACAUUGAGCAAUGACCACACAGAUGAAAAUUACAGAAAUUCCACUGAAGACAGGAACUUGGAUAUUUUCUCACUGCAAAAUGCUGACCAAGAUGGCAGCUUCAAAGCAUCUAUUGGUUCUAAUGCUAGCAUCAAAUCAACUCCGAGACAAAAUUCCAUGCCUCAAAAGAUAAUGAUUGAUACUUUCACAACAAAGAACCAUCUGCAUAGAAGAUCAAGCACAGAUUGGUCAGUGGGUUCAGCUUCAGAUGGAAGUUUAGCUGACUCAACAAACAGCCGCCAAGACAGCCUUCCAAGAGACUUGCAAGGAGCUUCAGAUGAAUCCAUUGAAAAACUAAAAAGUGAAAUAUCCAGUUUACUGAGGCAGUCGGAAUUAUCAGAACUGGAAUUGCAGUCUUUGCGGAAGCAAAUUACAAAGGAGAGCAGAAAAGCACAGGAUUUAUCAAGGCAAAUUAUUGACCUUAAAGAGGAGAGAGAUACAAUCAAAACAGAAUAUCAAGAACUCAAGUCCCGACAGAAGUGUGUUGAUGGAGAAGCCCUGAACAGAUUGCGAGCUGAGAAUAAGGAUGUAACAGAUCAGCUACAAGAAAUCAUGCGAGAGCUUAGUCAUGAACAGGAGUUGAACAAUGAUCUCAAGUUGCAACUACAGAAAACGCAAGAUUCCAAUUCGGAGUUGAUUCUUGCAGUGAGAGACCUUGAUGAUAUGUUGGAGCAAAAAAAUAUGGAAAUAUCUCAUCUUUCUGUCAAGCUUGAGUUAAGUAAGAAUGUUGAUAAGGUCCAGGAGAAAAAAUGUAAAUGCAACAUGAAAGAGGAUGACCAACAAUCAGCAGCUGCGCUGGAAGAAUUAGCAAGGGAGCAAAAUGAUGCCUGUGAAUUAUGCUUACUGAAGCAAAAAAUUGCGGACCUCUCUGAUGAAAUUAAACUAUACAGAGAAGAUAGGGAAAAACUGGAGAAUUAUAUUGAACAACUUACCCAAGAGUAUGCAGAUUUACAGCAGGAAAACAACGAUUUCUCUUCCAAGUUAGAGCAGAACAGGCUACAAGAAGUGAAGAUGCAAAAUGAAUCCAUGGAAUAUUUAGCUACUAUUGAAGGACUUGAAUUACAGGUUCAGAGAUUGGAGGAAAAGUUAAAGAAGCAGACACAAGAAUUUUCAGAGUCAUUGAUUUCCAUCAAUGGACUUGAAAGUCAGGUCAAAGCAAUGGAGAAAGAACUGGAAAAGCAGGCACAAGGAUUUGAAAAUGAUCUGGAUGCAAUGAUGCAAGCCAAAAUUGAUCAGGAACAAAGAGCCAUCCAUGCAGAAGAGGCCUUGAGGAAGACACGGUGGAAAAAUGCUAUGACAGCAGAGCGGCUACAAGAGGAAUUUAGAAAACUUUCAGUAGAAAUGGCAGGCAAGUUUGAUGAAAAUGAGAAGCUGAUGAUGAAAGCAAUGACAGAAGCUAAUGAACUACGCUUUCAGAACCAAAAUCUGGAAGAAAGGCUUCAGAAAGCUGAUGAAGAGCUUUCAUUAAUCAGGGACCAGAACAGAAUAAGAAUGGAAGAGCUAUUGACUCAACUAGAUUUGAAAACAAAACACAUCGAGCAUAUGUCAUUAGAACUGGAAGCUACGUCCCAGCAACUGAGAUGUGCACAGAAGCAUAAAGAAGAAAAGCAAGAGGCUUUCUCAGUUGAAAUUCAAAUGCUUAAUGCCAAGAUAGAAAUGCUCACAAAAGAGAAGAAUCACAUCCCUGGACAGGCAGAACAAGUGAAAAUAAGCGAUGAAACAGAUAAAACAAAGACAUCGGUUGAAGAAACAGAGGUGCUAAUAGAAAGAUGGAUUAGAGAAAGAGAUGAAUUGGAGAGAAAUUUUAUUUUGGCAAAGAAGGAAGCAGAAAGGGCUCAAGAAGAAUUAUUCAUAUUGAGGUCUUUGAAGAAUGAAAAAGAGACACUGUUUGACAAACUGUCAUCAGAAGCAGACAGCCUUAGAUCUCAGCAUAUUGAAUUAAAAAAUAGCUUGUCUAAAGAAGAACUGGAGAAAGAAAAGCUGCAGAAACAAGUUCUUGAAUUAAAGCAUGAGCUACACAAGACAAAAGAAGGAAGUAAGCUAAAAAAUAACAACAAUGGAGCUACAUUUCCGGAGGGAAAGAACUGCACUCCAACAUAUAAUGAAAAUUGGGGAACCAAGCGUGCUGCAAUAAAUACUGCAAAAGUCAAGGAAUCUGAAGAAAGAAAAGAUAAAAGGGAGAAACUACAGCAUUCUGAGACGACCACCACAGAGAGAAUGUCUGCCAAGAAAGAAGUUAGUGUAGCAACACUUGACAGGGAUGACAGCAACCUUGCUGAAUUGUUGACUGAAAUGGAACUGCUAAGGGAAAGGAACAAAUCUAUGGGAAGUGAAUUAAAAGAUAUGCAAGAGAGAUAUUCAGAGAUAAGCCUCAAAUUUGCAGAGGUAGAAGGUGAAAGGCAACAACUAGUCAUGACUGUACGCAACCUCAAGAGUGGUAAGAAGAACUAGCAUUCCCUAAGAUGAAGGAUGUUAGAAACAGAAACGAAGCAUGGGUAAAACACCCGACAGAAAUGCAUUUUGUGCUGCAAGGGAAUACAAAUAUGAAAGUGGAAUGAAACGAAAAAAGAGAUACCAAAUAUCAGAAAAUCACUGUACAGAAUUAUAAAUAUAUAUUGGUGGCAGCAAAUCCAUAUUUACUCUGAUAUUUCUCAUUAACAUCACCUUUGAUUGUGUAACAUUGAAUGUGUUUUGGAAUUUGAUUGUGUAGCAUUGAAUGUGUUUUGGAAUUCCAAAUCAAGGGAAAUUAGAAUUUUGUGAA